CUACGGGUGGCUCCAGUGAGGAAUAUUGCACGAUGGGGGGAACCCUGAUGCAGCAACGCCGCGUGGAGGAUGACGCAUUUCGGUGUGUAAACUCCUUUUAUAUGUCAAGAAAAUGACGGUAGCAUAUGAAUAAGCACCGGCUAACUCCGUGCCAGCAGCCGCGGUAAUACGGAGGGUGCAAGCGUUACUCGGAAUCACUGGGCGUAAAGGACGCGUAGGAGGGUUGGAAAGUCAGGUGUGAAAUCCUACAGCUUAACUGUAGAACUGCACUUGAAACUUCUAAUCUAGAGUAUGGGAGGGGGAGAUGGAAUUAGUGGUGUAGGGGUAAAAUCCGUAGAUAUCACUAGGAAUACCUAAAGCGAAGGCGAUCUCCUGGAACAUUACUGACGCUAAGGCGUGAAAGCGUGGGGAGCAAACAGGAUUAGAUACCCGAGUAGUC
rnacentral:rRNA from 1 species